GGACUUCUAGCACACCCAGACUGAUCUGCAGAAAAAUUGAAUCCAUUUCCUGGAAAAGAGGGAGAAGACUUCAUCAUGGCUAGGAAGGAUCAAAGCAGGACGAAAAGCUGCAAGAUCACAUCUUGUAACAGAAAUCCAGAAUAGACAGAGAGAACCAGAAGUAAGAUGGUUCAGGCUCCUGUCACCAGAGCCAAAGCUGCUCUGACUGCCCUGCCUUCCCCUCCUCCAUGAGGCCGGUGUCCUAACUAGCCACUACAAACAAACCAUGGAUAAGUUGCUUUAGUCGAAUACGUUGUCAUAGCAAUGAGAAGAAUAACGAAUACCAUCAUCUCCCUGAAGCGAGAAGUGCUGGCCACAUCAACAGAUUCCUGACUUUUCACAAAGCAUUCAUUCACAAGAAAGAAGCCUUGUGCAGCCUUCAGGGAUACCCAGACAUAUUGCGUUGAUUUCCCAGAGGCUCCAGGGAAUGGAAUGUAAGGAAUACAAUGAAAAAUAAAAUGUAACAUGGACAGCAGAGCCAGCAAACAAAAGGAGGGAGCUGAUCGACUUGAGCUCCCUGUGUGAUCUUGAAGGAAUAGACUGGCUUGCCGAGAAGAUUUCAGGAACCUCUGUCACAGUCCAGGCUCCAACUUAAACC
ensembl:lncRNA